rnacentral:rRNA from 1 species
GACGAACGCUGGCGGUGUGCUUAACACAUGCAAGUCGAACGAAGCUUGAUUACGGAUUCUUCGGAUGAAGUAUGAUAUGACUGAGUGGCGGACGGGUGAGUAACGCGUGAGUAACCUGCCCUUCAGAGGGGGAUAGCGUUUGGAAACGAACGGUAAUACCGCAUAAUGUAUUUUGACCGCAUGAUCGAAAUACCAAAGAUUUAUCGCUGAAGGAUGGACUCGCGUCUGAUUAGGUAGUUGGUGGGGUAACGGCCUACCAAGCCGACGAUCAGUAGCCGGACUGAGAGGUUGAUCGGCCACAUUGGGACUGAGACACGGCCCAGACUCCUACGGGAGGCAGCAGUGGGGAAUAUUGCACAAUGGGCGCAAGCCUGAUGCAGCAACGCCGCGUGAAGGAAGACGGUUUUCGGAUUGUAAACUUCUGUUCUUAGUGAAGAAUAAUGACGGUAGCUAAGGAGCAAGCCACGGC